rnacentral:hammerhead_ribozyme from 1 species
AUCCAACUAACGAGUCCUAAAGAGGACGAAACGCAUGUCGUGGAU